CAAAUUCAAACAUCUCAAGUUCUAAUUCCGGAUUCAAGACUCAAUCUCAAGCAUCAAUUCUCCAUUCCAAUCUUCAUCAAGGAUUCUCCAAAGUUGAGGGACCGGAGCACCGCUUGACCAUCCUCCUCCGCGUGGCUAAUACGAUUUCCUAUCAAGGUUAUUGGUGAGUCCUCCAUUCCGGGGACGUUGCUCAUGAUCUUUUGCUAUGUAUAAGACUUUUCUUUUUAGUUAUGUUUUGACUAUGAGGGUGAGCCCGGUAGUUUGUCUUGGCCCCCGCUAAGUACUCAUGUUUAGAGGUGGUGUUGGACAAGUUGUGUAUUAUGCUUGAGCUUGACUCAUCUAUGGUAUUUAUGUAUCAUUUCUUUUUUUUU